CCCCCCCUUUCGUGGUUACCGUUAUGCCAACAAAUACCCGGGGCUUGAUUUACAUGUAAAAUCAUGGGCGGAUCCAGCCAUGAUAAAGGGGGUUCCAACUACAUGUCUCCAUUAAAUAAGGGGUGUCGUUGCCGCUGGUUUUCUGUUACCCCACCCUUUUCAUAUAAUUUAGAUUUCAAAAGUGUAUACCUUAUUCAUAUAUUGUGUAGG
rnacentral:lncRNA from 1 species